AUAACGUAGCUGGGAAGCGGCUGGCUUCCCGUGUAUGAUGAACCCGCCCGGCGCGACCCUGACUCGUCGCUGCCCUGAGGGUUCAUUUUUUG
rnacentral:sRNA from 2 species